AUAAUACAGUAUAACAGGUUUAAUAACUUUUUUCUUAUAACAUCACGUCUGUGAAUUCCCCAAAUGUGGGAAUCUCGACUGCAUAAUUUCUGGUAGUGGGGGACUGCGUUCGCGCUCUCCCCUG
rnacentral:snRNA from 1 species